rnacentral:lncRNA from 1 species
UUUUUCCUUGCGAUGGAAUGACCAGCCUAUUUAUGGAAGCUGCUUGUAUCUUGGGACACAAUAUUGACAAUAUUCUCAAGAGGAAAGUAAAAUUCAUGAAGUGCACUGCUGGGAGCCACUUCCUAGUCGCCCCUCCUUCUAGGGCCACAUGCAGACUAACUACUAAACCACCUAGCAAAGCCCAGCUAGAGUGGAAUAAAACAGCUACUGUCUAGGGAUCCCCCGUGCCUCAUCUUUGAUGUUUGGGAGUAAUUUCUGCCUCUUUGUGGAAGUAAA